rnacentral:rRNA from 1 species
UCAGACGAUGCGUCAUGCAUAUCAAUAAGCGGAGGAAAAGAAACUAACAAGGAUUCCCCUAGUAACGGCGAGUGAAGCGGGAAGAGCUCAAAUUUGAAAUCUUAAAGGGUUUCCCUUUACGAAUUGUAGUUUAAAGAAGUGUUUUCUGUUGAGGUUUUGGUAAAAGUUCUUUGGAAUAGGACAUCAUAGAGGGUGAGAAUCCCGUAUUUGACCUUUACUUUCAACUUUGUGAUACACUUUCAAAGAGUCGGAUUGUUUGGGAAUGCAGUCCAAAAUGGGUGGUAAAUUUCCAUCUAAAGCUAAAUAUUGGCGAGAGACCGAUAGCGAACAAGUACCGUGAGGGAAAGAUGAAAAGAACUUUGAAAAGAGAGUUAAAUAGUACGUGAAAUUGUCAAAAGGGAAGCGUUUGACACCAGUGUUGUUUUUCUGAAAAUCAAUUAAAGAACUGUUUAUGCUAAGUUGUUUAGACUUUAUCAGCUAACUGUUUAGUUUUGAGCUUUUCUUUAAUGCACUUUUCAGUUAACAAGUCAACAUCAAUUUCUUUUGCUGUAAAAAAGCUUGAGGAAGGUGGCUUGAGAUUCGUCUUAAGUGUUUAUAGCCUCUUGCCUAUGCAGUCGGAGAGAUUGAGGUCUGCAGCGUAGAUCCUUCGGGGCUAAAUGCAUUUGUGCUAAGUUAUAGCAUUUUAUAGACAACUUGUUGACUAUGAUUUGUCUUGUAGCUUACUCGCUUAUGUUAUUUUACCUACGCUUAGGAUGUUGAGCGCAUGUCUCUCUC